rnacentral:lncRNA from 1 species
CCCGAGCACGUCCCGUGCAGCCCCCCUAACCAAGUUCGCCGUCACUGUCCACAUGGCGUCCGCUUCCCCAUAACUACUCCAAGCUCCGCCCUCCACUAACCUCUUCUCCAACUCCUGUGCAUUCUCCUUAGACAAAGCUCCCCAUCUAAUCCGCGGUUGACCCUGCGCGCCCCUCCGCUUCUUUUUCACCCAGAGAUCGACAUCCAUCACUAAAAGUCUAUGAAGAGUCGAAAGAGACUCUCCCGGAAUAACCUUGCA